rnacentral:misc_RNA from 1 species
GAUGAAGAACGUAGCGAAAUGCGAUAAGUAAUGUGAAUUGCAGAAUUCAGUGAAUCAUCGAAUCUCUGAACGCACAUUGCGCCCGCCAGUAUUCUGGCGGGCAUGCCUGUUCGAGCGUCAUUUCAACCCUCAGGCCCCCAGUGCCUGGUGUUGGGGAUCGGCCCAGCCUUCCUGUAAGGCCGCCGGCCCCGAAAUCUAGUGGCGGUCUCGCUGUAGUCCUCCUCUGCGUAGUAGCACAACCUCGCAGUUGGAACGCGGCGGUGGCCAUGCCGUUAAACACCCCACUUCUGAAAGUUGACCUCGGAUCAGGUAGGAAUACCCGCUGAACUUAAGCAUAUCAAUAAGCGGAGGA